AUGAACGCUGGCGGCGUGCCUAAUACAUGCAAGUCGAGCGAACGGACGAGAAGCUUGCUUCUCUGAUGUUAGCGGCGGACGGGUGAGUAACACGUGGAUAACCUACCUAUAAGACUGGGAUAACUUCGGGAAACCGGAGCUAAUACCGGAUAAUAUUUUGAACCGCCUGGUUCAAAAGUGAAAGACGGUCUUGCUGUCACUUAUAGAUGGAUCCGCGCUGCAUUAGCUAGUUGGUAAGGUAACGGCUUACCAAGGCAACGAUGCAUAGCCGACCUGAGAGGGUGAUCGGCCAAACUGGAACUGAGACACGGUCCAGACUCCUACGGGAGGCAGCAGUAGGGAAUCUUCCGCAAUGGGCGAAAGCCUGACGGAGCAACGCCGCGUGAGUGAUGAAGGUCUUCGGAUCGUAAAACUCUGUUAUUAGGGAAGAACAUAUGUGUAAGUAACUGUGCACAUCUUGACGGUACCUAAUCAGAAAGCCACGGCUAACUACGU
rnacentral:rRNA from 1 species